rnacentral:lncRNA from 1 species
CCAUUAUUUAUAUACAUGUAUUAUAUAUAGUAUAUAUUUUUACAUAUAUAAUAUAUACUGAGUACUAUGCAUAAUAUAUAUAUUUUUUAUUCUAAUCCUAGCUUUUUAAUUUGUUUUUAUUUAACAUCCUUUCUAUCAAAUUUUCAUUUGGAACAUAUCAACCAUGGACACUGACAACUUUCACUAUGAUCUUAUGCAUCUAUUUUCUCUCAGAGCCCAAGUUUGCUUUUUUACACAUGAAGGUUUUGAUACAGAUUUCUGUGAGUUAUAUUUACAUUGGCCAUGGAGUAUCCAUUGGGAACAAAAGGUGAGGGGCAGUAGGAUUGGAAAGGACUAGCUGUUUGGCUACUGGUCUUAUAGUAAAUCUAGAAGCAGAUGAGUUUUUACAUGUAUAUUUAGCUUGCUGACAGUUAAGUGUGUCCCAUUUACUUCCUUCUGGAACAGACUCUUACUCUUGCAAGGCUAUGAUUUAUUUUUUUCUCCUGGUUAUUUUCUGGUUGCCUCUGUAUUUGAGCUCAUUCUGUGGUUGGGGAAGCAUUUCCAUUUUUCUUUCUUUUCAUCAAAAACCUUAUCAUUUCCUAUGGUACCAUUGUCUGUCUCCAGAGUGUGUCAAAAUCUGCUUCUCUUGUUCCCCUGUUAACUUGUUUCCUAAUCUGUAGAAAGAAGAGCUGCUAACAUAUUACAUUGCCAUGAUUUUAUGUGCUCACUAAUUUUAAGUUAGUUUAGGGAGUCAGCAGAGAAAUUACAUUGAUUUGUUGUACCUGUCACCCAAGUGCAGACAUAUUAAAGUGGGUACAUUAGGAUCAAGAGACUACCGUACAUAAAUGUGAUUUAGAUUACUUUCCUUUUAGAGUCUUUUGUCCUUUCUCCUAUUUGUUAGUUCCCAAACUCCUGUGCUUUAUUUUUACCUGCAAAAUCUUUUUUCAAAUUCUACCUCUCCUUGAACAUCACUAGCUGCUUUUGCCUUUAACAUUUCCUUUUACUUUAAUCUUUAAACAAUCCAUGCCUGAAGCUCAAGAUGUAGCUCAGUGGUAGAUUGCCUAGUAUGUACAAGGCCCCGAGUUCAAUCCCCAACACCAAAGGGGGAAAAACAAAAACUCAUGCUAAUUAAAUCGUUAUCUAACAACCAUUCUGUGACUUAUUUCUUAUUACCUGGUAUAUGUGGCCCACAACUCAUACCCUAUUCUGUCCAUACUUUUAGUUCAUUGUAUUUCUAGCCUGCCAUUCCCACAAGCCCCAAUUUCUUUUUUUACUUUUAGUCUCAUAUAUGUAACCUAAUUCUUUUAUCCUGUAAGUCUGAUACCAAAAGUAUCUAGUCCUUGAAAAGAAAUUGCCUUGUUAGGUAAGGCCUUAGUCUUAUCCAAGGUUUAGAUCUAGAAAGCAUUGUUUUAUUUAUUUGUUGGUUGGUUUGAAGUAGACUCUUACUCUGUAUUCCAAGCUGGUCCAUAAUUCACUGUGUAGCCUAGGUUGAUAUCAAAUCAAUGGUACCCUCAGCACACAUACCAGUUCAGCCUCAGUUAUAUAUACAUGUACCGUUCUGC